rnacentral:lncRNA from 13 species
AUGAACAACCAGCAACCAGGCGGAGGCGCAAGGCACCAUCCGGCGAUGCUGACUUGGUCGCAUAUUGGAGACACAAAUUCACUUCACACAGUUUACUACCAGCAUCUAAGUGGUUAUACUCAAGGUCUGUAUAACGGGCAACCGGGCAGGCUUUCCAGGGGAACCUUCGUGCGGAGAUCUGGCAGGAGAAUCCGUACCAGCUACACCGACGACCAGCUGACCAAACUAGAAGAAGUGUGCAGUAAGCAGCGGUACAUGACAGGGACUGAGAAGAUGCUUCUGGCCUCAGCGCUGAGACUGACCCAGACACAAGACACAGGUCAAAGUCUGGUUCCAGAACAGGAGAACGCGGUGGAGGAAGGCCCAUUGGGACAUUGCCGGUGUACCUGAGAGCCACGCUCACGGUGAAACACCGAGCAAGGAGACGGAUGAGUUGAUUUCCGUGGACAAUGACGAGUCAUGGGUGUAUUUUUUAUUUAAAGUUAUAUUACUAAAUUCCUUGAGGCCAUCACACACAUUCACGAUGAUUCUUGAAUUAUUGUCAAACAAGAGAGACUUGUCUAUAUUUUACCACUGUGUGGCCUGGCAUGGGAUGCUUCAGCUCGUCAAUCAGCUAUCAACUAGGCUGUCAUUUUUGUCAUGCAUUUUAUAUUCCUCUUUCGUGAUUUCGUUUUUUUUCAUCUCUUCCUUUUCACACAGACUUUUUUAUUGUGUUUCUUUUCAGUUUAUNNNNNNNNNNUUUCACUUCCUAACCCCCCCCCCCCCCACCCCAACAUCCCAUAAGAUAUUUCUGUAGCACUGUUUGUGACUAGAAUGCCUGUCGGUCAUAUUCCAGGCCGCAUCUCUUCUCUCAGCAUAACAGGUGUGUUUUCAAACUGAUUAGACAUUGUUCUCACUCUACAUGCAUUGUAAUGGGGGUUUUGUUACUGGCUGAGAGAGAGGGCACCUAUUUUGGUUUAGAGCCCUACAACAGAAAUGGUGACUUGAUUUAUGAAACUUAUUAAUCUUUACGUUUUUAUUUAGCAUCAAAUGAAUGUACGUUUCAACCCCUGAUGUAUUUAGUUGUUGGUCGUGGUCUGUGUGUUUAGAAACAGAAAGACAUCUAGAAUAUGCACAAUUUUAAAUUGAAGAUCUUGAAACUUGGGAACUUUCUCUUGUUAACCGGUAUCCGUUUUCGCAAAGCACCUCUGAGUAGAUCUGCUGAUCUAUUAUCUGUUAUCCCUUGUUAUUCAUGUUGAUUUAAAAGGAGAAACCGAUCCUAGAUCAGCACUUGUACUCUGAUGCUUUCUGAAUAUGGGCUCUGUCUGUUUUUAUUUAUGAAGUUGGAAAGUGAGAUAAGAGACAUAACGCUUUGGUUAAAGGUUGGUGCCAGAGUGUCUGANNNNNNNNNNCCUAGCUUUCUGUACUGAACCCAGGAUAUAGGCCUUGCUUUCUGUACUGAACCCAGGAUAUAGGCCUAGGUUUCUGUACUGAACCCAGGAUAUAGGCCUAUCCCUCUGUACUGAACCCAAGGAUAUAGGCCUAGGUUUCUGUACUGAACCCAGGAUAUAGGCCUAUCCAUCUGUACUGAACCCAAGGAUAUAGGCCUAGCUUUCUGUACUGAACCCAGGAUAUAGGCCUAACCCUCUGUACUGAACCCAAGGAUAUAGGCCUAUCCCUCUGUACUGAACAGGAUAUAGGCCUAGCCUCCUACUUAUAUACUGCUGUUUUUUCUGUUCUACUGAUUACCAUCUCUAUAUGUUUGUUUUGACUGAUAUUUUUUAGCUACUUGAUAUGCAAUUCGCUUGUAUUUUUGUCUAAUAAAUCUUUGGUCUAUAGAUGAGAAAUGGUGUACAAUAAUUUCCAUAUAGAAAAUGCUGUGUCCAAAACAGAAAGUGUGGAUUUAUUAAAGAACAAACUGCAAACAGCUAUAAGUAAAUAUAUCAUCUAAAUCGCUAAAUUCUAAUAUACUCGAAUGACAAUAGUGUGAUGGACACAAGACUGCAGGUAUAGCCCCAAACUGAGCGACUAAUGCAUUAUGGGCCACUACAGUCUGUUAAUUCGUUUUCCAUGAGUAAAGAAGUCGCUCCAGGCAUACUGGCCCUCACUUAACCAGGUAUUAUGUUCCUAGAAGCCAGGUGUGUGGAGGUAAAAGCUUAAAGUCAGACCCAACACUGACAUUCUUCUCCCUAAUUGACCUUUAUGGACUCGAGCUGACAGAGACAGGAAAUGUUUGUGCGCGAGAGUAAAUAAAUGAGACCGCACUGAGAGAGAGACAGCAAUUAUAGGCGCGCAAAACGUCCCCCAAAUUGAGCCUAAAUAUGCUUCAAGGUUAAAUUGCAAUUAGGUAGUAGAUGGAAGUUUUCAUUAUGUAGAUAUUACAAAAUAAUACACGUGAAAUGAAUCAAUAUUAUAUACUUAACUAUAAUAAAGUUAUAGUAAUUCGGGGUACAUUU